UGCUAUCUGGACGUAAAGAGAGGAGGAGGGAAGGUCAUCGUGGAGAAGGCCCCUCAGGCUCGUAUCGACAAGAAGUAUUUGGUUCCUUUGCCAGUCGGUCAAUUCUACUUCCUCAUGCGCAAGAGAAUUCCCCUGAGACCCGAGGAUGCCCUCAUCUUCUUCGUCAACAAUGUGAUUCCUCCCACCAGCGCCACCAUGGGAUCGCUCUACCAGGGAAGGAACCGAGAUGAGACCAGACUCAGCCCUCCAGUGAGCCCAGGAGACCACCGAGGGACACCCACGCACCUCAUGGCAUGGGGGAGGACGGAUGGAGAUGGUGGGUGAGUGAAGCAACCCACCCCCUGUGUAUGCUCAGGCCCA